AGGUUAACGUUGACGAAGAUAGUAACGCCUCUGACCUGGAUCAGCGACUCCCGUUUGGUGUGAGGGGAGCCAGAUCAAGGCGUGAAAAUCACUUCGGAGUCACGCGGUGAACUGAUAGUAACCGCGCUGGUGGCCCCCAUUAUCGGGCUAGCGUAUCGCCAAUGGCCGUACGCGAAGAGGGGUGGCCCCUAGUGGGUCGCAAUUAAGGUGGUACCGCGCGGAAGCGUCCUUAGU
rnacentral:ncRNA from 1 species